AAGCCAUAAUGAGGGCAUUGGUUGGUAUAACCCUUGAAACGUCCCAUGCUUCACAGAAGCUUUCACUAGCUUUCUUUAAGGCUGUAGAAAGCCGAAGAUCUCAUUUCUAAGUCU